rnacentral:sRNA from 1 species
CAAGGCCUUCUCUGUUGUCUUGAACAUUAGGAGCAAAGCCACCUUCAUCUCCAACAUUGCAUGCAUCUUGACCAUAUUUCGCCUUAAUGAUGCCCUUUAGGGCAUGUUACCUUCACUACCCAUGCGAAGAGCCUCAGAAAAUGAAGAUGCUCCCACAGGUAAAAGCAUGAACUCCUGCAUGGCCAGAUUGUUGCCCGCAUGGCUACCUCCAUUUAUUACAUUGAAAGCUGGGACGGGCAUGACAAGCUCCUUUGUUCCAGCCAACUCCUGAAUAUGUUUAUAUAAAGGAACUUCCUUUG